AUCGGGUACCUCCCACUCUCGUGCGCCAUUGGGAAAAUUCAAUUUGACGGCCACGCCCCUCGCAGUCCAGGGAGGUUGGAGAUUGUAGUCUUGGGGUCGUCUGCCUCGGUGGCUUUAGCGAGUCGGGUGGGCAUCGGCAGGGGGACGCAGGCUCUGCGCCAAGUCGGGGAGGGCGCCCCAAGCCGAGAACUGGAUGCGCCCUAGGUCAUGGCCAGCAGCCCUCGGAGUGGGACUGAGGACCUGUUGGGAAACCAGUUUGGCAAGGCCAUCAUCUCCAUGAUGUCAUCCAGCUGCUGUGUUCUCUGGGCAACAGUGCCAGGCAAACUUCCGGCCCUGGAGAAGGAGAAGGGGCCUCAGAUGCCCACCGGGCAGCAAUGAAUUCCAGGAGACCCAGCCUUACAGACAAAGGAGAGGCAAAGGGCUGCGACAGGAAGGAGAGAGUUCUGGAUGUGCCAGCCUGGACCUCUUUAGACUUCUGGGAGUCCCUGAUGCCUGGGCGCAGGGAGUGGGGGGUCUAGGCUCAUGGUGGGGUAUUAUGUAAUUGCCACCUGAUGGGUUGGACACUGGCUCCUGAUCAUGUUUAUAAUGCAUGUGUGGCAAUUUUGUUACCACUAUGACCUUCAUAGCUUGAGUCCUGUGAGGUAGUACCACUAUUACACAGAUAAGGAGAUA